GAAGGCCACGGAAUGUGCCUGGGGGUCCAGUUUCUCCUCGAGUUGUCUCAGCUGGGCUCUGAGACUGGUGUUGCCCAGGUGACAGUCCUCGGGCUGCUCUUCCUUAGCCUGUGUGGGAGGAGAAUAUGCAAAUGAACAGGAGCCACCAAUGACAAGAGCAGCACAGUGUGCAGAAUAAAAAGAAGUCACUAAAGGUCAAAAGACAGAAGCAGUAGCUCCGGGCAGAAGACGCAGAAGGCUACCUCCUGUAGCCCCUAAGGAUGGAGGCCUACCUGAGCAACCAGGCUGUGGGGAGCCAAGGCUAGCCCACUGCUGACUCCGUCCUGUUCCAGUUCACCAUCUCGUUUACCCUGUGCCUCUGCAGGAGGGUCCGCACAGCCAACAGACGCUACACGAGGCUGAUGCUGGCCCAACUCCACCUGGCACCUGAGGAAACGCCGGUACAGCACGUGUAGCUGGUGGCUGAGGCGAGCGCACUGCACAAGCAGCUGCUGUAGCUUGGGUGGCUCAUCUGGGGUGGCAGAGGUCUGCUGCUCCACAGCGUGCUGGAAGUGGGCCAACGCCAAAAGGAGGGCCUCCAGCUCCACGGAAUGGCUAACUUUCCACUUGUUCACGGCAUCAAUUUCUAAGUCUCUCUGCACGAUGAUUGCUUCCUUGGCCUUCAGGGUAGCUUCAAACUCUUGGAUCCGAGAGGCCAUGGCUUCCACCUCAGCCUGUCUGAGGGCCACACAGUGUUCUAGCUCAGUCAGGUGUCUGGCAGCCGCCGCCUCUGCAUCCUGCAGCCGCUCCUGCAGUGCCUCCAGGGCCUGGCUGUGUCCAUGGUCUGCCAGAAGCUGGCCAAAGGCGCCCUUGGCUGCCUGUGCAGCUUGCAGCUCAUUGUGCAGGGCCUGGCCACCCAUGCCUUCCGCCUGGAGGCAGGACAGCUCCGUGUGGAGGCUGCCAGGCGGAAGGUCACUCAUUUCAUGCACCGUGGGCCCCAUGAGGCUCAGCUCACUCUGCAGCUUCUCGAUGACUUCAUGCAACUGCUCAAUUUCCUCUGCUUUGGCCUUCUGUAAUUGUUCCUGGUUUUCCUGCAAGUGUUCGAUAAUGGCUUUCAGCUCUUCGAUCUCAGAGUUCCUGCUGUUCACAACCUAAAGAGGAAGCACACGUCCUAAGGUGGUGAGACACGAGUCAGCCUGAGCGCCUCCCCUUUCCAGGACACAGAAGCCUGGAGGUCUGACUCCUGAAAAGAACAGAGACAGGGACAAACCAACAGUACCCCACCCCACCUCCGAUGCCUUUCUGUUUUGUAAAUCCAAACACUAUAAACGCACUACACCUGCUCUUCAGAGAGAGGACGCCUGCGAACCUCAGCAUAGCCCUGUGUCUAACCUCAGAAACUCCGACUUGAGCUUCUCUUCAGCCAAGGAUGCUUAUGGCCUUUUAGUCUUCUGUGCCUACUUGUGAGGCUGACACACCUCCGGCUGUACCAAUGAGACCCCUUACUGUUAUCCUUCUGACUGACUUCUUUCAUUUUCCUGCAGCAGUAAUUUAAGCUUCAGGUGUCACACUGGCCAGAGGCUGUGUGAUGAGCUGAGUGGCCCACAGCCACUGUUCCUCCAGCCACCGGAGUGAACACCGAAGUCACGGUGGAGGCUUGUACGACAUGAACCCCCUUCGCAGACAGAAAGAAUAUGCUCGUGGUGUGCCGUUUCACCUAGUCCCCAGGAACUUUAGAGGAACUCAGAUAUGAAAUAAACCUACAGAAACAGUUAGUGGGAACGUGGGAUUGUACCCAUCAAUACAGCCCAACUCUGUUCUCUUUGUAGCUGCUGUCACACGCAGUGACCAAAACCAGGGACAGUCUGACCGAUUCGAGUUCUAAACGUUGUCAAGUAAUGAACGUCUCAUAUUGUGCUUUCGAAAUACCCAGGGCCUGGAAACAACUAACCCUAACCCUAACCCUAACCCUAACCCUAACCCUAACCCUAACCCUAACCCUAACCCUACCCUAAGUCUUGCAAGCUCGACUUCCUAGUUCACACACAAAUACAAACCAGGCCCAUAAUAAAAACGAAAACUAGAAAGCCAGUGGGUGUGGUUAGGUACAACCUCUAAUCCCAGGACUUGGAAGGCAGGAGGCCAGCAUGGCUGACGUAGUGAGAACUGUCUUAAAAACCCAAACCAAACCAGACCAACCCAACCCAACCCAAAUCAAGUAGUUCCCCAACCACUCCUGCCCCCAGCUCGGUUUGAAUGGUAUCAGCCACACGCCAGUUCCCAGAAAUGUGUUCUACAGUUAACAGAAGGUACGUGAAACAAGACUCUCGGGGGCGCUUUGGAUGAGGAUGGCCCCCACAAUACAGGGUCCCCAGUUAGUAGAAAGGUUAGGGAAGGGUUAGAAGGUGUGACCUUGGUGGAGGUGGUGUGUCACUGGGGCGGGCUGUGAGGUUUUAAAAGCACAGGUCAUUCCCAGUAUGCUCUCUGCCCCCUGCUUGUGAAGCAAGAAGAAAACACUCAUCUAACACGCCAGCGCCAUGCCUGCCUGUUGCCAUGUUUCCUGCCACGAUGGCCAGGAACCCUAACCCUCUGAGACUGUGAGCCCCAAAUAAACGCCUUCUUUGUAAA